UACGUAGGGGGCGAGCGUUGUCCGGAAUUAUUGGGCGUAAAGGGCUCGUAGGCGGUCUGUUGCGUCGGGAGUGAAAACUUACAGCUUAACUGUGAGCGUGCUUCCGAUACGGGCAGACUUGAGGUAUUCAGGGGAGAACGGAAUUCCUGGUGUAGUGGUGAAAUGCGUAGAGAGUCGGGAGGAACACCCGUGGCGAAGGCGGCUCACUGGGCCGGUCCUGACGCUGAGACGCGAAGGCGUGGGGAGCGAACGGG
rnacentral:rRNA from 1 species